rnacentral:rRNA from 15 species
GCCGUAACCCAUGGAAUUGACGGAAGGGUUCACCUGGAGUGAACCUGCGGCUAAUGUGACUGGGCACAUCAUUACAACGAACCCAGGGCAUAAUGAGGAUUGACAGAAUGAGAGCAGUGCUCUCUUGAUUCUUUGGGUUAGUUGUGGUGAACGGUAUAUGAAACCCCAUUGCCUAAAUAGCUGACUGAAACAGCUUCUUAGGCGUCCUGCUAGUUCUGUAGAAAAGCAGUAAGGGGCGAGAAACAGGUCUGUGAUGCCCUUAGAUGCCCUGGGCUCAACGCGCGCUACUCUGAUUCACUUUCAAGAUACCUUGUCCGAAAGGUCUGGGUAACAUUGCAAUGUGUAUCAAACUGGGAUAGAUUUUUGCGAUUCUAAAUCUUGAACGAGAAAGUCCUGGUGAAAGACGCGAGUCAUCAGCUCGCGUUGAUUACGUC